UACGAAGGGUGCAAGCGUUACUCGGAAUUACUGGGCGUAAAGCGUGCGUAGGUGGUUGUUUAAGUCUGCUGUGAAAGUCCAGGGCUCAACCCUGGAAAGCCGGUGGAAACUGUCGAGCUAGAGUCCGGAAGAGGUGAGUGGAAUUCCUGGUGUAGCGGUGAAAUGCGCAGAUAUCAGGAGGAACACCGAUGGCGAAGGCAGGUCUCUGGGCCGAUACUGACGCUGAGGAGCGAAAGCGUGGGGAGCGAACAGG
rnacentral:rRNA from 1 species